CAAAAAAUGGCUUUCGCGAACAAGGAAAAAAUCUCUCUCAUAUUCACUAAAAUCCUGAAUCAUGGCGAACAUAGGGGGAAAAAGAAUGGUUCAUAUAAUUAGUUUCCGCUCUCGCUCUCGCCCUCGCCCCCGCCUCUCCCACCUCACCACCGCACCUCCACCUCCCCACUGCUCCGGCGCUCCUCCACCACCUCCCCUCCGUCGCUAGCAGCCACCACAUCUCCGCCGCAGAGGUGCGCCUCGGGGGCAACCGCGCAGGGGCCACUCCCUCUGCGCCGGGCGUCAGAUCUGACGGAGGCCGGGUUUGGGGUUGCGCUCCGGAUCUCACCGGAGAGGGCUGAGAUCUCUCCACUCGGCCCGCUCGUGAGAUCAACCCAUGGCGAAUCAAGGAGAUGGGGGAAGAGUGGCCUCAGAUCAAGAGAUCGAGAGACUGCUGGAGGAGACGCGGAGGCUGCAAAGGGCGGCGACGAGGGCAGCCAGGGAUGCGGUGAUCUCUGCGGGUCGCGUUCGAGAUGCUCGGCUUUACUUGGCCCUAAGGGCGAUGUCGAAGAUCAAGGAGAGAGGGACAGGCUCUUCGCCAGAGGUCAACCUCUUACUGCAGAUCUCAUUCUGGAUUGGGCGAUGGAGGAAGCUGCUUCGACCUCCCGAGCGCAGAGGAGGAAAUGGAGGGUGUUCAGGGAGCUGCAGGUGGAAGAGCAGUGACGGAUUUUCAAUCUCAGAGGGAGCCGCAGAUUAGUUUGGAUUUGCAGGAUGAUGGAGGAUUCGUUUUCUCUCUGGUGGUCAGGGCAAGCCUGAGAGCUGCCGAGUCACCCUCGCUGAUCUGCGGCGACAGCGAUCAAUCCUUCCAGCCUUGCCGUCCCCCUCACUGGAUUCGGAUCACCGAUAAGGGAAGAGGGGCUCAGAGAGGGAAAAGGGGGAGGAAUUUGAAUUCCAUACGCUGUCUGGGAAACGCAUUUCCCCUUUCCGCCUUCCCUAAGACAAUCACAGAAAGUAGCAGCGGGGUUGACAUCACCUUUUUCAGCCAGCUGUGGGAGGCAGAUUAUAGGGUUCCCACCCCGCCGCCAGCCACCACAUCCGCAGAAGGCACCGACCAAAAUUUCGAGGGAGAGGCCAUGGCUGAGCAAGGGACAGGGAGGGGGAAAUCCAAGAACAAGAGUGGACGGGGAGGGAGCAGCAAUCCACGGCCCCCUGGUUGGGGGCUUGAUCAGAAUCCUUCCCCCCAAUUCAAAUUCCCGUUCGGAUACCCAACUCCACCAUGGGGCUUCCCGAAUCAGCUCCCAGGAAAUUAUCCUCCACCACCAGGACAAUGGCAAGGCCCUCCACCCCCGUGGGCUGCGCAGCAACAAGGGUUUGGAUUUGGAGGUCUGGGAGGCAUUCCACCGCCAGGGCCAGGAAUCCAGGUUCAGCAACCCCAAUCGCAAGCGCAGAUGGGCGGACAGGGGCAGCAAAAUUUCCCCAAAGGGCAACCAAACCCUGCAGGCCAACAGAAGCAACAACAACAGAGAGGUCCGAGCAAGCAAGCAGCAAAGAGAUCUGCGAAAACCCUGCUCGACGUUGCGGCAGAUCUGAAAGCUUACUCUGCUGAUAUCUGCCUCAACUGUGGAGAUCCUGGUCACCCAGCUGUGGACUGUGCUAAGCCCAAAUCCUGCCAAAUCUGCAAGAUGAUCUCUCAUGCUGCUGAUGUAUGCCCAGUGAGGAAGCAACCGCACCAGACAGCAAGAUACAUUGGAAGCGCGGCCCCUGGACUUGGCUUCUACCAUGUGGAGCUGCCUGAUGUCAAUGCUCAGAGAAUUGGGACACUGCAAAACAUUGGAAUCGUCCAUGUGGAGGAGGGCGGCAUUACAAAAGAGGAAUUAGCUGCAGAAUUCACCAUCAUCUACAAAACUAGAUGGCCAUGGCAGAUCAGGUCAUUAGAUGAAUGGUCCUUCCUAGUUAAGUUUCCUCCUGAGAUUCCUGUUACUCAGGUAGCCGGAUACCCCUGCUUUGGGCUCUCAAAAGAAGGGGUCACAGUAAAUGUAGAGGAAUGGAAUGGAAAGGUAGAGGCUCAAGCUGAGGGUCAACAAGUGUGGGUCAGGCUCCUGAGAAUGAAUCCCAAGUGGUGUGAAUGGGCUGUCCUAGACCAGAUUGCCUCAGUUUUUGGGCUCUUGGUUGAUGUAGACUGGGAACACAUGUUCAAAACCUUCUAUGAAUUAAUCAGGAUCAAAGUGGUGUGUAAAGACAGUAGUAGGAUCCCUCUAGAAAGGCUCUUCUUCCUGGAUGGGGAAUUCUACAUGAUAGGGAUAGAAGUAGAACCAAACACUGAUCAGGGGGCUCUGUGAUGAACAACCAAGCUCCUACCAGUGACAUUACCAAAGAUGCUCCUGGCACUGACAAGAGCCAAAGCUCAAAAAACUCUGACAAUGGCUCUGAUAAAGGAUCCAGGACAAGCACCUCCUCACUAACCUCACUUGGGAGGGGGGUUGGAACCCAGAUUGGAAAUCAAUGUGGACUACCAGGGGCAGGAAUGGAGGGUGAAAUGCUUGCUUCACCAACUAGGCUGAUGGACAGUGUGCCACCUCCGCUACAUGAAGCUAGGAGGGAGCUUCUUGAUCUCAUCACCAAAGAUCUGCCAGAUGAAGAGCAAUGCUUCAACCUGCUUAGAGACAUGGACCUGGUUGAUGACACUGGGCACUACAACUAUGAUAUAGCUGACUGUGAAGUGGCUGAGGGUGAAGACACUCUUCAAGAUCUCUCGGAUUCAGGGGCUCCAAGGCCAAGACCAAGAGACUGUUCCACACACAACACAACCACUUAAAGAGAAGAAGAAAUGGGGGCCAGUUCCUGUUACCAGACACAACGAGAGGGUUGAUACAGGGGGGAGAACCAUCUUGGAGAGGGCUCAGAAGCUCAAAGAGGUUCAAAACCUGGAAAAACCUAAAAGCAAAGAUAGGGUGGAGCAUCCUGCAGGCGCUAAGAUCAUGGAUGAUACUUCUGCCCAGCAACAAAGAGAGCUGGGAGCCUUUUUGAAUCACCUGCUGCAUUACCUCAAACAGCCUCUGAGGAUAAAAAGUGGAUAACCUCUCUGGACACGCAAGCUUGCUUGGGGGGUCUCAGUCUGUCAGACGAUGAAGGACCAGCGUCCCCUACCAGCGAGAAGACAGGGAAGCACAACAUCAUCAGCCCAAUCUCAGUUCUGGAGAUGGGGGUGUGGUCUCCAUCACCCGGGGCGGCGCCGAUGAAAAGGGUCAAGAAGAUGAUGUCCACGGGCUCAGUGAAACCGAAGCUGCAGAUCGCGAUGUAAUUCGUCUCUAGUUCACCUUCGGUUGCCUGCGAGCAACUCUCAUUCGAAUAGUUUGUUUUUAUCUUCCUAGUUUCUUGUUUGCCUUCUGGUACAUGCUGGACAUGACGUUUUCGGACCUAUCUGGUUUCAUUCUGAGUAAUGGAACUAGAAAAUGACUGAUAAAUAUAUUCCUAAACGAAUAUCACAUAACUUUUGUACAUGUGCAUCAAGGAUUUUCUUGUUGGAGUUGAAAGUGAUGAACAAAACGUGA
rnacentral:rRNA from 1 species